rfam:Sphingopyxis sp. RIFCSPHIGHO2_12_FTLL_65_19 rifcsphigho2_12_scaffold_808, whole genome shotgun sequence.
CCAGAGGGUCGGGCGAUCGCCGCCGGUGGGGUAUCCUGCCGGGGGAGGAAAGUCCGGGCUCCACGGAAAUCACGGUGCCGGAUAACGUCCGGCGGACCGGGCCUCGGCCAGGUUCAGGGAAAGUGCCACAGAGAGCAGACCGCCACAGGCUUCGGCCCGGCGAAAGGUGAAAGGGUGCGGUAAGAGCGCACCGCGCGGCUGGUAACAGGCGCGGCACGGCAAACCCCACCGGGAGCAAGGUCGAAUAGGGACGGUAUGAGGAAACUCAGGGCUGAUUCCGGCCCAGCCGUCCGGGUUGACUGCUUGAGCGUUCGGGUAACCGUCCGCCUAGAGGAAUGAUCGCACAGUCCCCGCAAGGGGAUGGACAGAACCCGGCUUACAGACCCUCUGGCAUA